ACGUAUCCUCCGUGGACUUAAGCACAAUAUACCAAAUAAUUCAUACAUCGGAAGGGAUCCACACCUAUCUAGUUGGAUAAAUGAAUAUAUUAUUAAGCUAGGAAUGCCUGAUAUAACUAGUGACAGAAUAUAAUGUAAGUAAAAUUCCCAAUUGAAGCGGGUUCGUGACCUGACAAAAUGAACAUUCUGAACUACAAGUGAAAAGUGAAAGUAGACUGAAACUGCAAUAUGAGAGCUAAUAUAUAUAUAAAUAAAGUUGUAAGCAACAUAGAAGUACACAAUUAUAUGAUUUUUAUAACAUCGAGUCAUAUUAAAUUUUGUUACACAACAAGCGUAAACUACUAAUUUCGGGGUCACCGUCUACAUGUAAACAAAUGUGCAUAAAUCUAUUUCCGGUGACAUUCCAGAAAUGUUCUUUAACAUCAGAUGUAAACAAACGGAUAUUACAAUGGAACCAAAUAGGAUUUAACAGGGGUGUGAAUAACUAAAUAUCUUAACAACAAUAAAUAUUAACAAUAUAACAUUUGAGACCAUUAUAGCAUACUCAUGGAGCAUAAAAGGACAUAGUAAGGAACCAAUUUUUGGCCGGCACAACACUGCCUACUCCUUAGUAUGGAUUGGUAUCCAAUUGGAUUGUAAGAGACUACCAGAACCAAAUCUACAGGCAGAGUAAUUGCCCGCCCAAGCAUCAUAUUACAAGGACUGACACCAGUGGAUUUGUGGACUGAUGAACGCACGCAGUAGUUACAGCCAGUUUCACAGCAUGGGCGACGAGACAAUGCAUUAGCAUUUGAACGGAUUCGACCGGCUCUAUGCUCUAUUUUGAAGGACAAUAAGUUCAGCUUCAAGAUGAACAACAACAUCCUGAGCUACAGCAAUCUUUCAUAUGGUUGAGUAUUCUGGACUGAUUUGACAACCUCUUUAAUAUCAUUGGUCAAAGACUUCAUUUCCUGGCGGAAACCAUCAAUUAAAGAUUUUGUAAACGACUCAGAAUCAUCUAGACGAUCUGAAUCAUUUGAAGCAACUACGUUAAUAGGAUGACCACGAUAUCGAUUGGUCUUCUGUUUGUCAGCUACUCUAUAGGCUUCCAGCUGUAGUGCCAACAUUUCAGCUUCAGCAAUAUCUUUGACCUGAGCUUCUCGUAUUCUGAGCCUCAAAUCUGAAUCUGGCAAAGCAUCUAUAAAAUGAUCCCUUGCCAAAGUAAAAAUUAAAGUUGGAGGUGCAUUGGGAUAAGCUUGUCGUGUGAGCAUUUUUAUUGAUUGGGCCAGUUCAGAUAUAGAUUCUUCUCUACGCUUGAUACGUGUCUGCAGAUUUGCUUGAAAAAUCUCUGCUCGGUUCAUUGAACCAAACCUUAAAUUAAGUAUCCUGACCAAGCUUUGAUAAUCUUUUCUUUCUAUUGGGGAAAGUUAGUAAGGUUCUGGCAUCACCUUUAAGGCUACCAGCUAAGUACAAGGAUUUAGUUUAGGACAGAUAAUCAUCUAGAUCUAAUGUACCAUCUUAAUAUUGUGAUUUUGGUUCCGAUGUGGAGGAAGCACCACUGAAUCUGACCUACAAGCUACCAAACUAGAUAAACUGGGAGCCAGGGUUGAUGGACAAGACCAUAUGUUAGCAGUCGCUAAAUUGCCAUUGUUAUUAUUACCUCUAAAUAAAAAUUUGUGGGUGGAAUAAUAUUUUUAGAGACAUUUGCCUUCUCUGAAUAAUGAGACGUACGUUCACCUUUCAUGUGUGGGUGAAAUGUACUGCCAUUGCAAUCAUUUAUUGGUUGGUCAAAAUCAUACAACAGAUUUCUGGUAACAUGAGUUUGAUGAUCACCUGACCCCAAACUUUGAACAUUAGGCAUGGUGACAUGAGCCCGUAAAGCUGCAAUGUCUUGGUCAACUUUAUCCAUGGUCUUUUUUGUCAUAUACUGCAUUUCUUCUUUUGUAUUUUUAAACAUUUGGUCAAUUUGAUGAAGAUGCACUUGCAGAAGGGGAUGGAGUAUUACAAGUUACUUCAUCGACUACAUGCAUGUCCAUUAAAAUAAAUGGACCGCUAAUAUCUUGGUCAAUUAAAGAAUCUGAGAUUCUCUUAUAAAAAUAUUAUUUCUGAAUCAUCCAUUGUAAAUUUGUUCACAAAAUCUAUCGAUUUCAAUAGUAACAAGUUAACAAAAAUGAAAUCACCACAGUCAAAACAGUGGUUUAAAAUUAAAUAUACUAAAUGGGAGAUAAAUUAGUUAUAAAUCCCGCCGAGGAUGCCAAAUAUGUUGCGUCGACACCACCCGUCAGCGCAAUGACCACAUAUUGGACAAUGACAUAUAAACGUGUACAUAUAUUAAAUAUAUACUUCAAAAAGGGUUCUACCUGUUUCUAUUGUUGUUUUUUUUGUUUUUUGUUUUUGCUCUACAGAGACAUAAAACGGAUAAAAGUUCACACCCUGUUUAUUACUGUAUUAAGGCACAACAUGAAAAUAUGCAGUUUUGACAGUAGUAUUAAUAUUAUAAACUAAUGAUAUUAUAUAAUACACAAAAGGAGCCCCAAGAGGAUACAUAGAAGUUAAAAAGGUAUAAGAUUUAUCGAUCUCAUUGUUUACUUGAUAUAUUUCUGGUGAGGUGCAGUUGCACCUAAGGUUCAGGUGACGUUACGAUAAGAAUAAGGUGCUGUUGCACCAAGGUUCAGUUGCACCUAAGGUUCAGGUGACGUUACGGUAAACUAUCAAAGUCUAUAAUUUAGCAAUAAAUGGUCAAUUCCAAUCAAGGUGCAUUGCAUCGGCAAUGUAUAUAAAUGUUGCCUUAAUUAAAUGUGGUGCCCGAAAUCCAAACUUGGAUGCACUGCUAAAUUUGAGUAGCGCUAUACACGGAUUAAAUAUAUAUAACGACUCAGUUGAUUGGUAAUAUCAUCUAAAUAUAAAACGUAAUUUAUAAUCACAACUUUUCUAUAAAAGAUCAAUGAUUCACGGAAGCUAGUAACUGAAUAAUGUUGCACCAGGUGCAAUUUGACUUGACUCUCGGUGCAAAUAAAGUUAAAGAAUGGUUUCUCUAGUAGAAACACUCAUUAAUUUACCUAAAAAGGCAUUUUUAAAUAUUAUAAGCAAUUAAACUAUCACGAUAACGUACCAUGGCUACAUCCGAGCGAAUAUGUUGCUGCGACAUUAUAAAAGAAACAAGCUAAAAUCUAUGCGACUGUUAAAUAAACGUGUAUCAAGUGGAAAUUGAACAGAGAAGAAUGACGUCACAAGUACGCUGACGUCGUUUUAUAUAUAGAAUAAUAUCAACCAAUCAAAUAAUUCUAUGCGAUCUCCGGGCAAACGCGCAGAUUUGCGCAAAGAUGGUGGUUC